rnacentral:sRNA from 1 species
GUGCUCUAAUUUAGAGUUCCUCAAUCUUGCCACUGUUGAUAUUUUGGGGUGACUAAUUCUGUUGUGGGGGCUGUCCUGUGCACUGUAGGGUGUUCAGCAGCAUCCCUGGCCUCUACCCACUGGAUGCCAGAGGCACCCCCCAUCCCAGCUGUGACAAUCAGCAGUGUCUCCAGACAAUAUCCCCUAGUGGGGAUCGGUGCGGGCAACAUUGUCCCUGGCUCAGAACCACCGAUCGAAUUUAUUAUGACAACAUAUCCCUUUGCCACAAAAACAAAUGAUGGGCUAACCGUGUGUGUGCAGGUGAAGCCACUGCUGCAGGUGACACGGCAGGAGGAGGAGAUGCAGGCCAAGGAGGAUGAACUGCAGAAGACCAAAGAGCGGCAGCAGAAGGCAGAGAAUGAGCUUAAGGAGCUGGAGCAGAAGCACUCGCAGCUGACCGAGGAGAAGAACCUGCUACAGGAACAGCUGCAGGCAGAGACAGAGCUGUAUGCAGAGGCUGAGGAGAUGCGGGUGCGGCUGGCGGCCAAGAAGCAGGAGCUGGAGGAGAUA